rnacentral:rRNA from 1 species
CCUACGGGAGGCUGCAGUAGGGAAUAUUGCUCAAUGGGGGCAACCCUGAUGCAGCAACGCCGCGUGGAGGAUGAAGGCUUUCGGAUUGUAAACUCCUUUUGUUAGAGAAGAUAGUGACGGUAUCUAUAGCAUAAUCACCUGCUAACUCCGUGCCAGCAGCCGCGGGAAUACGGCGGGUGGAAGCGUUCUGCGGAAUCACUGGGCGUAAAGAGCGCGUAGGCGGGUUAGCAAGUCAGAUGUGAAAGCCUAUGGCUUAAACAUAGAAAUGCAAUUGAAACUUUUAUACUCGGGUUUGGGUGAGGUAGGGGGAAUUCGUGGUGGAGGCGGUAAAUGCGGAGAGAACAAGAAGAAAACUCAUUGCGAAGGCGGGCUCCCAGAACAUAAAUGACGGUGAUGCGCGAAAGCGGGGGGAGCAAACAGGAUUAGAAACCCGUGUAGUC